rnacentral:rRNA from 1 species
GACGAACGCUGGCGGCGUGCUUAACACAUGCAAGUCGAACGGAAAGGCCCCCUUGUGGGGUACUCGAGUGGCGAACGGGUGAGUAACACGUGAGUAACCUACCCUUGACUUUGGGAUAACUUCAGGAAACUGGGGCUAAUACCGGAUAGGAGCUCCUGCUGCAUGGUGGGGGUUGGAAAGUUUCGGCGGUUGGGGAUGGACUCGCGGCUUAUCAGCUUGUUGGUGGGGUAGUGGCUCACCAAGGCUUUGACGGGUAGCCGGCCUGAGAGGGUGACCGGCCACAUUGGGACUGAGAUACGGCCCAGACUCCUACGGGAGGCAGCAGUGGGGAAUAUUGCACAAUGGGCGGAAGCCUGAUGCAGCAACGCCGCGUGCGGGAUGACGGCCUUCGGGUUGUAAACCGCUUUCGCCUGUGACAAAGCGUGAGUGACGGUAAUGGGUAAAGAAGCACCGGCUAACUACGUG